UUUCCCGGCCAAUGCACCA
rnacentral:ncRNA from 3 species